rnacentral:rRNA from 1 species
UGGCGACCGGCGCACGGGUGAGUAACACGUAUCCAACCUGCCGAUGACUCGGGGAUAGCCUUUCGAAAGAAAGAUUAAUACCCGAUGGCAUAGUUCUUCCGCAUGGUAGAACUAUUAAAGAAUUUCGGUCAUCGAUGGGGAUGCGUUCCAUUAGGUUGUUGGCGGGGUAACGGCCCACCAAGCCUUCGAUGGAUAGGGGUUCUGAGAGGAAGGCCCCCCACAUUGGAACUGAGACACGGUCCAA